rfam:Dialister invisus CAG:218 genomic scaffold, scf13
GGACAAACCUCUGGAGAGUGUCGUAUAUGACCGCCGAAGGUGCAGGGGCGCGGGGAAGAGUAGUCCUCCCGUUCUAAUCUCUCAGGCAAAAGGACAGGGUCGGUGCA